GAUGAACGCUAGCGGCAGGCUUAACACAUGCGAGUCGAGGGGCAGCAUGAGGGUUAGCAAUAACCCUUGAUGGCGACCGGCGCAAGGGUGCGUAACGCGUGAGCAACUUGCCCGUUUCUGGGGAAUAACCGGUGGAAACGCCGACUAAUACCCAUAGCAUUGGUUAGAGGCAUCUCUUAUCAAUUAAAGAAUUUCGGAAACGGAUAGGCUCGCGUGACAGUAGCUAGAUGGCGGGGUAACGGCCCACCAUGGCGACGAUGUCUAGGGGUUCUGAGAGGAAGGUCCCCCAAACUGGAACUGAGACACGGUCCAGACUCCUACGGGAGGCAGCAGUGAGGAAUAUUGGUCAAUGGUCUGACGACUGAACCAGCCAUGCCGCGUGAAGGUCACGGCCCUAUGGGUCUUAAACUUCUUUUGUUAGGGAGCAAUAAGGUCUACGUGUAGAUUGAUGAGAGUACCUAACGAAUAAGCAUCGGCUAACUCCGUGCCAGCAGCCGCGGUAAAAC
rnacentral:rRNA from 1 species